CUAAUAUCCACAGACUGGCUUAGUGUUGUGUCGACUUUCGUAUCGGGUGCACAACUUUCUAAUUGAUUAUCAAUGACGGGCGCGAUGGUCGUCCUAGCCAUCACGUGUAUAUUUUGUGAAAUAACUCAGACAAGGCCGAGAGAACUACAUUCGAAUUACUUGAAGCCAGUGAGCGCUCCUUCGAUUAGCUACAAGUACGUGGUCAAGCCCAUUCUCCCACAGCAGGACAGUUGGUGGAAGCGAGGGACGCACCACAUACACAGGGACGACACUGGAUACAAAAUAAUUACUCCAUGAAGGUCAUGCUUCCACAAAUGCAAAAAACUGUCUGUGUUAUUAUUAUUUAUUAAACGUAAUUAACCUCGA